UCGCCUCGGGAGGGGCUCACGUGGUAUUAGCUUGUUGGUGGGGUGACGGCCCACCAAGGCCAAGAUGCCUAGCGGGUGUGAGAGCACGACCCGCGCCACUGGCACUGAGACACUGGCCAGACUCCUACGGGAGGCUGCAGUCGAGGAUCUUCUUUUUUUGGCGCAAGCCUGACCGAGCGACGCCGCGUGCGCGAUGAAGGCCUUCGGGUUGUAAAGCGCUGUCGAGAGGAAGGAAAGCCCUGAAAGGGGCCUGACCUAUCCCUGGAGGAAGCACGGGCUAAGUUCGUGCCAGCAGCCGCGGUAAGACGAACCGUGCGAACGUUGUUCGGAUUCACUGGGCUUAAAGGGCGCGUAGGCGGGCAGCCAAGUCGGGGGUGAAAUCUUUCGGCCCAACCGGAAAAGUGCCCCCGAUACUGGUUGCCUCGAGGGGGGUAGGGGCAUGCGGAACUUCCGGUGGAGCGGUGAAAUGCGUAGAUAUCGGAAGGAACGCCGGUGGCGAAAGCGGCGUGCUGGACCCCUUCUGACGCUGAGGCGCGAAAGCCAGGGGAGCAAACGGGAUUAGAUACCCCGGUAGUCCUGGCCCUAAACGAUGGGUACUAGGUAGUGGGCUUGACAUGGGCUCACUGCCGGAGCAAAAGUGUUAAGUACCCCGCCUGGGGAGUAUGGUCGCAAGGCUGAAACUCAAAGGAAUUGACGGGGGCUCACACAAGCGGUGGAGCAUGUGGCUUAAUUCGAGGCUACGCGAAGAACCUUAUCCUGGGCUUGACAUGUGCGAAAGCGCGAGGAAGUAAGGGGCCGGAAACGGUAC
rnacentral:rRNA from 1 species